rnacentral:rRNA from 1 species
UACGAAGGGGGCUAGCGUUGCUCGGAAUCACUGGGCGUAAAGGGUGCGUAGGCGGGGCUUUAAGUCAGGGGCGAAAUCCUGGAGCUCAACUCCAGAACUGCCUUUGAUACUGAAGAUCUUGAGUUCGGGAGAGGUGAGUGGAACUGCGAGUGUAGAGGUGAAAUUCGUAGAUAUUCGCAAGAACACCAGUGGCGAAGGCGGCUCACUGGCCCGAUACUGACGCUGAGGCACGAAAGCGUGGGGAGCAAACAGG